rnacentral:lncRNA from 1 species
CGCAGCUUGCUCAUACUGUCUUGGUUUGCUUUUUUUUAUGCUGACUUAAGCUGCAGCAUCUGUAUGAAGGGGUUUAGCACAAUUGUAAAUACUAAUCUCCAGGCUGCCAAUGUCAUUACGGAAGUAGAUACAAGUAAAUGAAACUCACAGUACAUUUCUAUAGACACUGUGGGUGAUUUUGAAGACAUAUGUAUCUUCCAAGCUGUUACAAUCUUCCUGAAUAUAUUUCUUCGUAGGCCGGAGGAGCAUUCCUUUAUGAACAGCCUUAAGCCAUGUAAGACGUGCCUGCUUCCCCUUCACCUUCCAUCAUGAUUGUUUCCAGAGACCUCCCCAGAAGCCAAGCAGAAGCCACUGUGUUUCCUGUGCAACCUGCAGAACCAUGAGCUAAUUAAACUGCUUUUCUUUAUAAGUUGCCCAGACUCAGGUAUUUCUUUAUAGCAGUGCAAGAAUGGAUUAAGACCAUGUAGCUCAAGUGGCCAAAAAAAAAAAAACCUCACAAUUCUAGUACAAUUUUCCAUGUAAGAAGUACAAAAACUAAAGAAGUCAACAAAAGAGAGUUACCCAAGUGACGAAGUCCAUCAGAAAAUGGUUUAAGUCUAUCAGAAAAUAACUUAAAACUGGAAAUAAAAUGUGGAUGUUUUUGAGCUAAAG